AUGAAGCUGAAGAUCAACAAGGCGUGCGACAUCGCCUCCAUCUCCGUCCUCCCUCCCCGGAGGACAGGAGGGAGCAGCAGUGGCGGUGGCGGGAUGAGCGCGCCUGCUGCUGCUUCCGCGGCGGCGGCGGCGGCCGCGCAGCAGCAGCGGUCCCAGUCGAUGUCGCAGAAGUCCUUCUCGCAGGGUGGAGGCGGCGGCUCGUUCUCGCAGGGCGUCGGGGCGUCCUUCUCGCAGGCCAUAGGCAGCGGAGGCGCGUCCUUCUCCCAGGCCAGAGGCGCGUCCUUCUCGCAGGGCAGCGGCAGCGGAGGCGCCGCGUUCUCUCAGGGCGGCGGAGGCGGAGGAGCCGCGUUCUCUCAGGGCGUAGGUGGUGGAGGCGCUGCGUUCUCUCAGGGCGGAGGUGGCGGAGGCGCGGCCUUCUCUCAGGGCGGUGGGAACGGAGUUGCGGCCUUCUCUCAGGGCGGUGGAAGCGGAGGCGCGUCCUUCUCCCAGGGCGGUGGCAGCGCGCCGCUCGUGCACGCGCAGUCGCAGCUCUCGCAGGCCUCCCUCGACGCGAACCUCCUCAGCCUCCUCUCGCAGGCUCCCGCGCGCGACCAGAGAUUUGCCUUGCAACAGGACUCGUCGAAGAGGACAUCUUCAUAUCCUGCCAGUUCAGCUUCUUGUGUGCGCGAGGAAUCUCAGCUGCAACUGACAAAGAUACCAACCAACCCUAUCCACCGCUGGAGCCCCUCUCUUCCGGAUAGCAGAUGUCAGGUUAAUGAAGAAGUUGAGCGCAAAUUUCAGCAUCUUGCCAGUUCAGUACAUAAGAUGGGAAUGAUAUUAGACUCAGUGCAAAAUGAUGUGAUGCAGUUAAACAGAGCCAUGAAGGAGGCAUCACUGGACUCUGGUAGCAUUCAGAAAAAGUUUGCGCUCCUAGAGGACUCUCUAAAGCAAAUUCUUAAGGAACAAGAUGAUCUCAAAGCAGUCGUUGAAGAAAUCACAGAAAGUAAUCCUGACCAACUGAGUGUUCUCAACUCUCUCGCCAGCAAACAGGAUGAGAUGUCUUCGUUACUUUCAGUCUUGCCAAACCAUGUGCAAGGAGAACUGGGGCAACUGAAGGCUGACAUCUUCAGAACUUUCUCAAAGGAGAUGGAGGGGAUGGUUAGAGCUGUCAGAUCUGUUGAUACCAGGUUUGACCAGAUGCAAAUGCUGGCAAACCAGACAAGAGUAGCAAACGGAAGCCCCCUGAUGAUGCAGACACCAGUAGCCUAUGGAAGCCCCCUGAUGAACCAGACAACAGUAGCAGAUGGAGGCCCCCUGAUGAACCAAGGACCAGUGGCAGAUGGGAGGCCGCGGAAGAAACAAAGGCCAGCGGCAAAUGGAAGGUCCCAGAGGAAGAAGCUAACACCUGUAGCAAAUGGAAGGCCCCAGAGGAAGAAACAAAGACCAGUAGCAAACGGAAGGCCCCAGAGGAACCAAAGACCAGUACCAAAUGGAAGGCCCCAGGUGAAACAAGCAGAGACAGCAGAUGCAAGUCCGCAGAUGAACCAGAAACCCGAGGCAAAUGGAGAGGCCCUGAUGAACCGAGUAGUACCAGUAACACAAGCUGUCAGUGCCAGCGCUCCUGCACCCUUGGUUUACCACAGGAAGACAGAAGGUGUGAAGCCAAAUGUGGAGAAGGGGAUGGCAAAGGCCGCCACAGAAGCGCGGAAAUUGGACGGCUCAGGCGACAGCAGGCCGGCGCCACCUAAAGAGCAAGAGCUGGCGAUUCAGAAGGACAAUGAAGAGGCGCCCAUCAACAAGGCGACGUUGACCAUUGUCAUCGACUCGGAUGAGGAGGAGGGGGGCGUCAUGCUGAAGGCCGGAGCAGGUGGCGCCGGUGGUGCGGCGGCGGCGGAGGAGGCGGUGGGCGAGGUGGAGGCGCUGGAGAUCCUGCGGCGGGCGAGGAAGCGCCGGCGGAGGGAGGAGGCCAGCGCCGCCGCGCUGGACCGCUGCUAG
rnacentral:rRNA from 1 species